ACGUAGGUGGCAAGCGUUACUCGGAAUCACUAGGCGUAAAGCGCAGGUAGGCGGUUCGGUAAGUCUCUUGUGAAAGCUCCCGGCUCAACUGGGAGAGGUCAAGGGAAACUGCCGGGCUAGAGUGUGGCAGAGGAAGCUGGAGUUCCCGGUGUAGCGGUGAAAUGCGUAGAUAUCUGGAGGAACACCGGUGGCGAAGGCGGCAUUCUGGACUGCAACUGACACUGAAAGACGAAAGCCAGGGGAGCAAACGGGA
rnacentral:rRNA from 1 species